AAAGUCGUAACAAGGUUUCCGUAGGUGAACCUGCGGAAGGAUCAUUACCGCGCCCGUGGGGGGCUGGCACGCCCGGCCUCCCCACCCGGCCACCCUUGUCUAUCUGUACCUGUUGCUUCGGCGGGCCCGCAGCGAUGCCGCCGGGGGUUCGCCCCUGGCCCGCGCCCGCCGAAGACACCGAACUUCUAGUUAAGAUUGGCGUCUGAGCGUUUAACUAAAAUCGUUAAAACUUUCAACAACGGAUCUCUUGGUUCCG
rnacentral:misc_RNA from 1 species